GGCAUCUUUUUAUUUUUAAGACCUUUUUCGGAAGGUAUGCUCUAAAGAUGAGCUUGCGCCACAUUAGUUUGGGGGGGGGUAAUGGCCUACCAAGACGAUGAUGUGUAGCUGGAUUGAGAGGUCGAACAGCCACAUUGGGACUGAGACACGGCCCAAACUCCUACGGGAGGCAGCAGUAGGGAAUUUUCGGCAAUGGAGGAAACUCUGACCGAGCAACGCCGCGUGAACGAUGAAGUAUUUCGGUAUGUAAAGUUCUUUUAUUGAAGAAGAAAAAAUAGUGGAAAAACUAUCUUGACGUUAUUCAAUGAAUAAGCCCCGGCUAACUAUGUGCCAGCAGCCGCGGUAAGACAUAGGGGGCGAGCGUUAUCCGGAAUUAUUGGGCGUAAAGGGUGCGUAGGCGGUUAGGAAAGUCUAUAAUUUAAUUUCAGUGCUUAACGCUGUCUUGUUAUAGAAACUACCUUGACUAGAGUUAGAUAGAGGCAAGCGGAAUUCCAUGUGUAGCGGUAAAAUGUGUAAAUAUGUGGAGGAACACCAGAAGCGUAGGCGGCUUGCUGGGUCUUGACUGACGCUGAGGCACGAAAGCGUGGGUAGCAAACAGGAUUAGAUACCCUGGUAGUCCACGCCGUAAACGAUGAGUACUAAGUGUCGGGAUAAAACUCGGUACUGAAGUUAACACAUUAAGUACUCCGCCUGAGUAGUACGUACGCAAGUAUGAAACUUAAAGGAAUUGACGGGACUCCGCACAAGCGGUGGAUCAUGUUGUUUAAUUCGAAGAUACACGAAAAAUCUUACCAGGUCUUGACAUGCUCUGCAAAGUUAUAGUAA
rnacentral:rRNA from 1 species